UCAGAGCCCGUUAAUGGGUGAUGGCGUGCCUUUUGUAGAAUGAACCGGCGAGUUACGAUUUGAUGCAAGGUUAAGCAGUAAAUGUGGAGCCGUAGCGAAAGCGAGUCUGAAUAGGGCGUUUAGUAUUUGGUCGUAGACCCGAAACCAGGUGAUCUACCCUUGGUCAGGUUGAAGUUCAGGUAACACUGAAUGGAGGACCGAACCGACUUACGUUGAAAAGUGAGCGGAUGAACUGAGGGUAGCGGAGAAAUUCCAAUCGAACCUGGAGAUAGCUGGUUCUCUCCGAAAUAGCUUUAGGGCUAGCCUCAAGUGAUGAUUAUUGGAGGUAGAGCACUGUUUGGACGAGGGGCCCCUCUCGGGUUACCGAAUUCAGACAAACUCCGAAUGCCAAUUAAUUUAACUUGGGAGUCAGAACAUGGGUGAUAAGGUCCGUGUUCGAAAGGGAAACAGCCCAGACCACCAGCUAAGGUCCCAAAAUAUAUGUUAAGUGGAAAAGGAUGUGGCGUUGCCCAGACAACUAGGAUGUUGGCUUAGAAGCAGCCAUCAUUUAAAGAGUGCGUAAUAGCUCACUAGUCGAGUGACACUGCGCCGAAAAUGUACCGGGGCUAAACAUAUUACCGAAGCUGUGGAUUGUCCUUUGGACAAUGGUAGGAGAGCGUUCUAAGGGCGUUGAAGCAUGAUCGUAAGGACAUGUGGAGCGCUUAGAAGUGAGAAUGCCGGUGUGAGUAGCGAAAGACGGGUGAGAAUCCCGUCCACCGAUUGACUAAGGUUUCCAGAGGAAGGCUCGUCCGCUCUGGGUUAGUCGGGUCCUAAGCUGAGGCCGACAGGCGUAGGCGAUGGAUAACAGGUUGAUAUUCCUGUACCACCUAUAAUCGUUUUAAUCGAUGGGGGGACGCAGUAGGAUAGGCG
rnacentral:rRNA from 1 species